rnacentral:rRNA from 1 species
AGUGAACGCUGGCGGUAGGCCUAACACAUGCAAGUCGAACGGCAGCACAGUAAGAGCUUGCUCUUACGGGUGGCGAGUGGCGGACGGGUGAGGAAUACAUCGGAAUCUACUUUUUCGUGGGGGAUAACGUAGGGAAACUUACGCUAAUACCGCAUACGACCUACGGGUGAAAGCAGGGGAUCUUCGGACCUUGCGCGAUUGAAUGAGCCGACGUCGGAUUAGCUAGUUGGCGGGGUAAAGGCCCACCAAGGCGACGAUCCGUAGCUGGUCUGAGAGGAUGAUCAGCCACACUGGAACUGAGACACGGUCCAGACUCCUACGGGAGGCAGCAGUGGGGAAUAUUGGACAAUGGGCACAAGCCUGAUCCAGCCAUACCGCGUGGGUGAAGAAGGCCUUCGGGUUGUAAAGCCCUUUUGUUGGGAAAGAAAAGCAGCAGGUUAAUACCCCGCUGUUCUGACGGUACCCAAAGAAUAAGCACCGGCUAACUUCGUG